rnacentral:rRNA from 1 species
UACGUAGGGAGCAAACGUUGUUCGGAAUUACUGGGCGUAAAGCGCGUGUAGGCGGCUAAGUAAGUCGGGCGUGAAAUCCCACGGCUCAACCGUGGAAGUGCACUCGAAACUGCAUAGCUAGAGUCCUGGAGAGGAAGGUGGAAUGCUUGGUGUAGAGGUGAAAUUCGUAGAUAUCAAGCGGAACACCGGUGGCGAAGGCGGCCUUCUGGACAGUGACUGACGCUGAGACGCGAAAGCGUGGGGAGCAAACAGGG